rnacentral:rRNA from 1 species
GUGCUUGCACGGGUGAUUAGUGGCGAACGGGUGAGUAACACGUGAGUAACCUGCCCCCGACUUUGGGAUAAGCCCGGGAAACUGGGUCUAAUACCGGAUAUGACUUCUUACCGCAUGGUGGGUUGUUGAAAGAUUUAUCGGUGGGGGAUGGACUCGCGGCCUAUCAGCUUGUUGGUGAGGUAAUGGCUCACCAAGGCGACGACGGGUAGCCGGCCUGAGAGGGUGACCGGCCACACUGGGACUGAGACACGGCCCAGACUCCUACGGGAGGCAGCAGUGGGGAAUAUUGCACAAUGGGCGAAAGCCUGAUGCAGCGACGCCGCGUGAGGGAUGACGGCCUUCGGGUUGUAAACCUCUUUCAGUAGGGAAGAAGCGAAAGUGACGGUACCUGCAGAAGAAGCGCCGGCUAACUACGUGCCAGCAGCCGCGGUAAUACGUAGGGCGCAAGCGUUAUCCGGAUUAUUGGGCGUAAAGAGCUCGUAGGCGGUUUGUCGCGUCUGCCGUGAAAGUCCGAGGCUCAACCUCGGAUCUGCGGUGGGUACGGGCAGACUAGAGUGAUGUAGGGGAGACUGGAAUUCCUGGUGUAGCGGUGAAAUGCGCAGAUAUCAGGAGGAACACCGAUGGCGAAGGCAGGUCUCUGGGCAUUUACUGACGCUGAGGAGCGAAAGCAUGGGGAGCGAACAGGAUUAGAUACCCUGGUAGUCCAUGCCGUAAACGUUGGGCACUAGGUGUGGGGGAAUUCCACGUUUUCCGCGCCGUAGCUAACGCAUUAAGUGCCCCGCCUGGGGAGUACGGCCGCAAGGCUAAAACUCAAAGGAAUUGACGGGGGCCCGCACAAGCGGCGGAGCAUGCGGAUUAAUUCGAUGCAACGCGAAGAACCUUACCAAGGCUUGACAUGUGCCAGACCGCCUCAGAGAUGGGGUUUCCUUCGGGGCUGGUUCACAGGUGGUGCAUGGUUGUCGUCAGCUCGUGUCGUGAGAUGUUGGGUUAAGUCCCGCAACGAGCGCAACCCUCGUUCCAUGUUGCCAGCACGUAGUGGUGGGGACUCAUGGGAGACUGCCGGGGUCAACUCGGAGGAAGGUGGGGAUGACGUCAAAUCAUCAUGCCCCUUAUGUCUUGGGCUUCACGCAUGCUACAAUGGCCGGUACAAUGGGUUGCGAUACUGUGAGGUGGAGCUAAUCCCUAAA